rnacentral:snRNA from 1 species
UCACUUUGGUACUAGAUAUACUAAAACUGGAAACAUAGAGAGAAGAUUAGCAUGGUCCCUACAUAAGGAUGAC